rnacentral:rRNA from 1 species
UACGGAGGGUGCAAGCGUUAUCCGGAUUCACUGGGUUUAAAGGGUGCGUAGGCGGAAUGAUAAGUCAGCGGUGAAAUCCCUCGGCUUAACCGAGGAACUGCCGUUGAUACUGUCAAUCUUGAGUACAUUUGAUGUGGGCGGAAUGUGUCAUGUAGCGGUGAAAUGCUUAGAUAUGACACAGAACACCGAUUGCGAAGGCAGCUCACAAAACUGUAACUGACGCUGAGGCACGAAAGCGUGGGUAUCAAACAGG